AGAACGAACGCUGGCGGCAUGCCUAAUACAUGCAAGUCGAACGAAGCUUCGGCUUAGUGGCGCACGGGUGCGUAACGCGUGGGAAUCUGCCCCUUGGGUUCGGAAUAACAGUUGGAAACGACUGCUAAUACCGGAUGAUGACGAAAGUCCAAAGAAUUAUUCGCCAACGGGAGUGAGCCCGCCGUAGGAGUUAGCUAGUUGGUUGGAGGUAAAGGGACGUCACCAACGGACGGACCGAAUCCUUACGUCUGGUUCGUUGAGGUAGGGAUUGGAUACAGCCACCACUGGGACGUGAGACACGGCCC
rnacentral:rRNA from 1 species